AGUGAACGCUGGCGGUAGGCCUAACACAUGCAAGUCGAACGGCAGCACAGUAAGAGCUUGCUCUUACGGGUGGCGAGUGGCGGACGGGUGAGGAAUACAUCGGAAUCUACUUUUUCGUGGGGGAUAACGUAGGGAAACUUACGCUAAUACCGCAUACGACCUACGGGUGAAAGCAGGGGAUCUUCGGACCUUGCGCGAUUGAAUGAGCCGAUGUCGGAUUAGCUAGUUGGCGGGGUAAAGGCCCACCAAGGCGACGAUCCGUAGCUGGUCUGAGAGGAUGAUCGGCCACACUGGAACUGAGACACGGUCCAGACGCCUACGGGAGGGACCAGUGUGGAAUAUUGGACAACGGGCGCAAGCCUGAUCCAGCCAUACCGCGUGGGUGAAGAAGGCCUUCGGGUUGUAAAGCCCUUUUGUUGGGAAAGAAACGCAGCAGGUUAAUACCCCGCUGUUCUGACGGUACCCAAAGAAUAAGCACCGGCUAACUUCGUG
rnacentral:rRNA from 1 species